GUAUUUAUUUUGCAUCUUGAAAUUUUAAGAGCACUACAAUUAUUCUAACUGAUUUCUAGAAAAAUUUGUAUAAAAACAUAUGAAUGCAUAGAGAAUAAUUGGAAAAUGGAGACAAAUGAUUGAUAUAAACGAAAAACAAAAAAACAUAUACAGAGAGUUAAUUUCCAAAGUUAUGUAUCAAUAGGAAAAUGUGUAUACAAUGAUGUAUCAAUAUCUACUUUCUAUUAUUCACCAGACUUUUUCAUUAUAUACGAACGAAAAAUCGAUUUGCAACUUCGAGUAUUUGAUGUGCUCUCCAACUGGCAAGGGAAUUGCGUUCAUUGUAUUUGAAUAUACUAUCAUGAAAUAGCGUGCAUGUUUUGCCUUCAGUGAAUUGAAAGGAAUAUAAAGGUUGAGUUGCAUAUCAAAAAAUUCCUGAUUACAUAAGAGCAAAAUAAAAGCUUGAUGUUUCAAAUAAUAACCGAUCUUUCAAGUACUUCUCCUGAGACUCUCAACAAGGUGAAAAGCUAAAGGUUUAAUUUAGAGAGAAGAAAAAGCAGGCGCAAGAGUUCUGAUUAAAUGAUUAAAUAUGCCCUGGAGAUAUAGUAUUAAAUUCUUCGUUAUUCAUUCACAAAGCCCAUUGUUCACUUCACGACUCUUCAAGUAACUUUUUGCUCUAUCAUUAAUUUUUCUUCUGUUGACCUAUUUCUAUAAUCUCCUUCUUCUAAGUAAUUCGAGCACUUUAUUAUACUGAAAUUGACAUCUAUCACUUGAGUCAUAUUCCUUUUUAAUUCGUUUCAAUAACACAAAAAUAUAAUAAAUCGCUUUAAAUUAUAUUUAACUUUCAUCACAGCUAAAUUUUCUAACCAAAAUUUCUAUUAUUCUUUGCUGCAGUAAUUACUCCGCGACCCUUUCUUCACAAAAACAUUCAUCCAAGUUCACUCGAAAUA